CUCCGGCCUGGCCUGCGCCCGCGGCUCCCGACUGGCCAUGCCCGCCUCCAGACUGUCGGGACUCGGUGGCGCGGCUGGCCGUGGGGUGAACGGCAGGGGCCCGGCUCGUCGCCAUUAGAGGCCCUACUGUGCGUGCUGCGUUUGGGCAUUAUUCGGCUGGCCGGCGCUCCCCAGGUGCUCAGCCUCCUGUGUCGUUGAAGUGCGGCCGACGGACGUUAGCGACCGCCGACUACUUGCCCUGCCCCGUCUGAGCCGGCCGGCACUGACCCCUCAGUCGUCCGCUGAUACCCCAGUCACGGGACUGCAGCCGCUCAGUGCAGCGAUCGGGGUGUGCUGGGGUGCAGUCAGCAGGCUGGUCACAGGACUUCAACAGCGCUGUGUCAUGGUCGGGGAGUCGGCCGACAGGGUUAUACACUGUGCAGCGGCGCAGCGGGUGGGGGG